rnacentral:rRNA from 1 species
ACCUACCUUUAACUGGGGAAUAGCCCAGGGAAACUUGGAUUAAUACCCCAUAAGACAUUAGAAUCGCAUGAUUUAGAUGUUAAAGUUCCGGCGGUUAAAGAUGGGCAUGCGUGCCAUUAGAUAGUUGGUGAGGUAACGGCUCACCAAGUCUUCGAUGGCUACGGGGUCUUAAAGGAUGAUCCCGCACACUGGUACUGAGACACGGACCAGACUCCUACGGGAGGCAGCAGUGAGGAAUAUUGGUCAAUGGGGGCAACCCUGAACCAGCCAUGCCGCGUGCAGGAAGACGGCCCUAUGGGUUGUAAACUGCUUUUGUACGGGAAUAAUGGGUUCUACGUGUAGAGCUAUGAAGGUACCGUACGAAUAAGCAUCGGCUAACUCCGUGCCAGCAGCCGCGGUAAUACGGAGGAUGCAGGCGUUAUCCGGAUUUAUUAGGUUUAAAGGGUGCGCAGGCGGCACAUUAAGUCAGUGGUGAAAGUUUGCAGCUUAACUGUAAAAUUGCCAUUGAUACUGGUGAGCUUGAAUAUGGUAGAGGUAGGCGGAAUGUGUAGUGUAGCGGUGAAAUGCUUAGAUAUUACACAGAACACCAAUUGCGAAGGCAGCUUACUAUGCCACUAUUGACGCUGAGGCACGAAAGCGUGGGGAGCGAACAGGAUUAGAUACCCUGGUAGUCCACGCCGUAAACGAU